rnacentral:rRNA from 1 species
AUUGAACGCUGGCGGCAGGCUUAACACAUGCAAGUCGAGCGGGGGAAGGUAGCUUGCUACCGGACCUAGCGGCGGACGGGUGAGUAAUGCUUAGGAAUCUGCCUAUUAGUGGGGGACAACAUCUCGAAAGGGAUGCUAAUACCGCAUACGUCCUACGGGAGAAAGCAGGGGAUCUUCGGACCUUGCGCUAAUAGAUGAGCCGAAGUCGGAUUAGCUAGUUGGUGGGGUAAAGGCCUACCAAGGCGACGAUCUGUAGCGGGUCUGAGAGGAUGAUCCGCCACACUGGGACUGAGACACGGCCCAGACUCCUACGGGAGGCAGCAGUGGGGAAUAUUGGACAAUGGGGGGAACCCUGAUCCAGCCAUGCCGCGUGUGUGAAGAAGGCCUUAUGGUUGUAAAGCACUUUAAGCGAGGAGGAGGCUACUCUAGUUAAUACCCAGGGAUAGUGGACGUUACUCGCAGAAUAAGCACCGGCUAACUCUGUGCCAGCAGCCGCCGUAA